AUUAAUUAUAUAACUCAUUCCUUUCUUUGUAUCUCUGCAUCUUAGGUUUCACCGUUUCCCUACCAUUACAUAGCAUAAGCUACCCUAAUUUCCAAGCCCCACUUAACAUUCCAUUAUUUCGCUGAUUUCUUAGAUGCCAGUGUCACUUGCUAGUUUUACUUUAUGCUAUUGCUUUGGGUUCUGUUUUAUGUUACUCGGAGUCCUAGAUAUGCACUGCAGUGGUGGUUUAUUUCUGGUGAAUAUAUGCGAUCGUUUCCCAAGCCUCUAUGCGAGCUUUUCUCACAUAUAAUGCCGGAAAUUUAUUGAAUUGCAUUGGAUAUGAAGACUUAAUUUGUAUUGGUUUGACCUCUGCCGAAAAAAGUAAUGUUGUAUUGCUCCGGUUGUUGUGUCAGGGAGUCCUACAACUCGCUGGGCCUCAGUUGCGUUUGGUGCCGGAGUUGGAAUUGGGUCUGCUUACACAGAAUGUUCUUCGCUGUUUGCUGGAUCGGCAACCAAGAUAGCACCACCCCAGGUCCAUGACACUGCCAUUCAGAAUGUGCCGGACACGGAGUAGAUGCUUGCUUAAGGGAUCCCGCUUCUUGGAUGUCAAGACAGAAUGUUAUUAUUAUUAUUGGUGGUUUUUUUUCCAUACCGGUAACAUGUAGAAACCCUGUGAUUCUGUAAUGUAUGCAGAGUUCAUUCACAAGCUGUUAACGUUGGAUCACAAAAUAGAAAUAACCAUUGCCUUCUGCAGAUUUCAAGUUGUGUCUGCACAAUUUUCAAUCUGAAUGCUAGCUAGUGUCUUAUCAUUUCUGCUUAGGCAUAUGACACCAUGCGUCUUUGUGUGAUUUCAAUUUUGUAUUGUAUAAUUGAACUGGAUGGCUUCUUGCCGUGAGUCUUAAAUGGAAUCGAAUAAUGGAUACACUAGCUAGAAAGAUGAAGUUGAAUGAACAAGAAGUGCUCGUUCUUCGUUUCUGAGCUUGAAUUCC